rnacentral:lncRNA from 1 species
AAAAAAAAAAAAAAAAAAAGGAAAAGAAAAGUAAAAAGAAAGUGAAAGAAAGUGGGGGGAAUUUCUAAAAGUUCUGGAGGUGGAUGGUGGUGAUGGUUGCACAACAGUGUGAAUGUACUUAAUGCCACUGAACUGUAUACUAAAAACUGGUUAAAAUGGUAAAUGUUAUGUCUAUUUUCUCACAAUAAAGAAAAGAACAUAAAUAAUAAGCAAUGUUGGGAAAGACAUGAUUAAACUAGUAUCCUAUAAAGAAAACGUGGCACAUAUAUACAAUGGAGUACUAUUCGGCCACAAAAAAGAAUGCAAUCCUGCCAUUUACAGCAACAUGGAAGAACUGGAGGUCAUUAUGUUAAAUGAAAUAAGCCAGGCACAGACAAACAAACAUUACAUGUUCUCACUUAUUUGCAGGUGCUAAAAAUCGAAACAACUGAACUAAUGAGGACAGACAGUAAAAGGAUGCUUACCAGAGGCUGCAAAGGGUAGUGAGGCGUGGCAGGGGAGUGGGGAUGGCAAAUUGGUACAAAAAAAUAGAGUAAGACCUAGUAUUUGAUAGCACAACAGACUGUAGCCAAUAAUUUAAUUGUACAUUUUAUAAUAACUAAGAGAGGUUAACUGGAUUGUCUGUAACACAAAGGAUAAAUGCUUGAGGGGAUGGAUUCCCCAUUCUCCAUGAUGUGAUUAUUACGCAUUGCAUGCCUGUAUCAAAGUAUUUCAUGUACCCCAGAAAUAUAUACACCAACUAUGUACCCGCAAAAAUAAAAAAUAAAAAUUAAACAAACUAGUAAGCUAGUACGUAGCACUGAGAAAGCAAUGUGGCAAUAACGUUUCAACCAUCCCAAACUUUUCUGACCCUUUGGUACCCAUCCCACUUCUUUAACUUUAUCCCAAGAAAAUAAUAUAUAAGAUGCACCAGCCAGGAAUGAUGGAUCACGCCUGUAAUCUGAACACUCUGGGAGGCCGAGGCGGGCGCAUCACGAGGUCAGGAGUUCAAGACCAGCCUGGCCAACAUGGUGAAAACUCGUCUGUACUGAAAAUACAAAAAUUAGCUGGGCAUGGCGGUGUGCGCCUCUAGUCCCAGCUACUUGGGAGGCUGAGGCAGGAGAAUGGCGUGAACCCGGGAGGCGGAGCUUGCAGUGGGCUGAGAUCGCGCCAUUGCACUCCAGCCUGGAUGACAGAGUGAGACUUCAUCUCAAAAAGGAAAAAAAAAAAAAAUUUGCCCAGAGAUACUGAAGGAAAUAAGAUAAAAUGCAAUUGGAGGAUUUCCUGGGUUUGUGGGUGAUUUUCUCUCUGAUUUCUGCUCUGGUUCUAUGUGGUGAGGCAUAUUUUUCUGUUUUUGUAAAAACAACCUCCACUACAUUACUUGGCUGAUCCCUGCCUCCUUCUCUCUGUCACACUUGACCAUUUUCUGAGACUCACAUCAACUCCAGUGGGCUCCAGGGAAGUUCAUGCAGCCCUUUGGCAUGAACCUGGCCCCAGCAUAAUGCCCCUUGGCUGGGGUGGACUCCACAGGGAAACCUCUAAGCAAAUGGCUAUGGGUGCUGGGGACAUAUG